AUUAUUUUCUGCGUGUUUAACAUUCACUUUUACUUGACAAUAAUAAAGGCAGUGAUAAUUAAAGUAAUAAUCGGAUUUAUGCUCCAAGACGGUGUUCCUAAAACAAGAAAGAAAUUUUAUUAGAAGAACUAACAACUAUACAACUUUCAAGAUCUAUUGACAAUUAAACUUUCAAUGAAUGAUUAGAUAAAAAGAAUAUUGUUAUUCCAUCAUGAAACUAACAUAUCCGAUGCAGUCGAGCCCACGUGAGGUCAAAGUGUGUCCUAAAGAACAGGAACAGAUCCCUGGAAGAAAAU